rnacentral:lncRNA from 1 species
UAUUCCCACAUCGUAAGGUCUGGGGAGGGUAAGAUGUACGCAGUCUAUACCACUACCUCCGGAGAAGUAGCAAGGAUGUUUCCGAUAGACCCCCGGCUCAAGAUAAGAUGAGUAAUCACAACCAUACAAAAUGCAUGGAACAAGAUGGCAAGACAUAAAAACGCCCCUACAAUGAAAAGUAAACAAAGAAUAGUAGGCACUAGUAAUACAGCAUGCAACAAGUUAGUCUAACAAGAGUAAUACACCAAACAGGUAAUGCCCUACCCUACCUACUCUAAUAGUCACUAGCCUUCUAUCCUAAUACGCAUCCUCCAG